CGCCAUGGAUGGUACCUCAUCGCCGGUCGUGCUGCUGGUCUUCGCUUGGUCGUCGGAUGCUCUCCCCCUUCCUGGAUCUGCGUGCUCCCCAGUUGUGGUCGUCUUCCCCGUCCCCACCCCGGCCCACCCCCUGGCCACGCGUCCUUCCUGAUGGGUUCGGAUCCGCCGCGGUCAUCCCACCACCGGCCGCGGUCACAGGGGGCCGGAUCCGCCGCUCCUGGGUUCAGAUCUGUGCAUCUCACCUAGGGGGCUUCCUCAUCGUCGGCCCGUGGUCGUCAGUGUGGAUGUGGGGGCGAAGCAGCACAAGCAGGGCCGGAAUCCUGAGUCCCGCGGCGACUUCACCAUCCUGCUCUCCCACAUCGUCCUCGGCUGCAAGUUCGUCGCCUUCGCCGUCAACAAGGCCGGGCUCGUGAAGCUCAUUGGACUCUCCAGCGAGACCAACAUCCAGGGAGAGGAGUAGAAGAAGCUAGACGGCGUUCGUCAGGGCCCUCGUCAGCAGUGGCCGCACCAUACGAAUCCAGAAUCCUCCUUGUCCAUUUCCCCUCGUCCGUUCCAGUUCCUAGUGUGUUGUUCUCUGACCCGGCGCCGGUGCACGCAUGCAGUGCGUCCUUGUGUCGGAGGAGGACGAGGAGGAAACGUUCGUGGAUCCUGCACUGCGUGGGAAGUACUGCGUCUGCUUUGAUCCGCCCGACGGCUCCUCCAACAUCGACUGUGGCGUCUCAAUCGGAAUGAGUCAAGAUUUUGAGGUUGUGCUGCAGCCUGGCACAAACAUGCUUGCUGCGGGAUACUGCAUGUGUGGCAGUUCCUGCACGCUUGUUCUGAGCACUGGGAGUGGUGUCAAUGGCUUCACACUUGACCCAUCACUUGGUGAGUUCAUACUGACUCAUCUAGACAUCAAGAUACUUAAGAUGGGAAAGAUUUAUUCAGUCAAUGAAGGGAAUGCCAAAAAUUGGGAUGCAGCUGUUGCGAAGUUUGUGGAGAAGUGUAAAUACCUCAAAGAUGGUUCGCCACCUAAAUCUUUGAGAUACAUUGGAAGUACGGUUGCUGAUGUUCACUGUAUCUUGCCCUAUGGGGGUGUAUUUUUGUCUCCUUUUGAUUCUGCAUUUUUUUCCACUUUUGUAGUUUAUGCAAUGGCUAGAUGGCAGAAGCGUUAACAAGGUACUAUGUCAUCAUCUACCAUGAUUGAAGGAUAAGGACAUUAGCCAAUAACAUGGAGUUUAUUUAGGCAAUUUAGAGUUUCACCUCUCUGCUCCAGGACGACAGGAAUAACAACUCAAUUCCUCUUGUUUGAGUAGCAGCGGUGCAGGAGUUGUUUUGUCACUGCAACAGCAACAAUGCCUGUCAUCAUUAGCUUAGGUAGAUAAGCAGAUAAGCACUCCAGCAAGGAUUCAGUCAGUGUAUGAAGUAAAAUGCUACUUCUAUGUGGAUGAGAAGAGCAGAAAGAUAUAUGGAUGAGAAGAGCAGAACGAUGAGACGAGAAGAACUACUUUUAUGUGGAUGCUCUGUCUAUGAAGUAAAAUGCUACCUUUUACAGGGAUUUCACUGGGAUUUCACCUUGGCUUGCCCUGUUUUGGUGAAGAAACAAUGUUGCUUUGAAUCAUGUUCAUUUGCUUGUACAUUUAUUCUAAUUUGCUUAUACGUUAUUAUAAUAUGCUUUCAGAUUUUAACAAAAAUGCUUCUCAUUGUAAAGA